GUGGAGUCUGUCACCCUUCACCACACACAAAAUUUCGCGGAGUCUGUCACCCUCUCGCGAUUCCUACUAAAUUCUAUUUACAUUCCCCUUUUAUAGGGUUAGAGUUCAGAAGGAGAAGAAAAACCUUGACGCUUCACUCUCGUCUUCAAUCGGACGGUCUCUCUUCAUUUACUUCGAGUGUCUCUCUAAACCCUCCGAUCACUUCAGCGUCCUCUUUGCCAGUUCAGCUUUGGUCAGCCACUUUCGGGCAGCUCUGGUCAGGUCGCUUCUGAUUAUGUAACAUUUGGGGCAUGGGAGCCUCUUUCUCUCGCGCAUGAGCCAUAGCUCGAGGGAGCUUUCUCCAAAUUGAAAGUGCUCACGGGAAUGUUCUUUUUUUUUUCUCAAAUGAACUGCUCUACAAUGACCCCAACUGCUGCCUCCAGUGAAACUCACCGUUUCACUUAAGCCCAUCCCAGCAUUGGCAGCCCAAUUAACUUCUUCAACACCAUCCCAAUUAAAUCAGCAGUAGUGGUGGGCCAAGUGUGCAACCCAAUUUAUCAGGGCCCAAUUUAAUUGCUUCAGCAGCUUCAAACAAAAUCAACCACCAAUUUACUCCAAUGGCAGCAACGUUCCAAUUUGCUUCCAAUCAAUAGACGAAUAGGCCCAAUUUCUUUACCAAUCCAGCAUCUUCUAUGACCCAAUUCAUUUUCUGCAGCACAAAGCUUCUAAUCAGCAGCUAAAUUCAAUGC
rnacentral:lncRNA from 1 species